rnacentral:lncRNA from 1 species
AUACAAAACAGAUUGAAAUCUUCAAUAGGGUAUUCUCUUUCGGACAAGGACGACAUCUUGUACAUGAAAAGUAAAAAAUAUAUAAUACUUAAUAUAAAGUACAUGGGCACAAUAUUAGAAUAACAUGUCGAUUUUUAAAUGCUGUGCAUAAUUAGAGAUCUAAGAAUCCAGAGGUAUAGAAAUCUAGAGCACAUUUCAUGAGAUGAAAGUUAUAAAGGUGCAAAGUAAGCAUUUUUUUAUUUACGCACCAAUGAUCUUUAUUACAUUUUCGUAUUACACUCUACUAUAUCGACUGGAAUUAGUAAAUCACAGCGCUUCUGGUGGUUAUGAAUUUCUAAGAGAAGGGGAAUCCCAUAGCAACUUUGUACAUCCCUGAUGUACAUUUAUUCAGAAAGGGUUCUGAACGGUGUAAUCACAAAUGUGACCUUGCAUACUUGACCGAAACGUCGCAUUUGCUUGCACGUUC